AAAUUGAAGAGUUUGAUCAUGGCUCAGAUUGAACGCUGGCGGCAGGCCUAACACAUGCAAGUCGAACGGUAACAGAAAGAAGCUUGCUUCUUUGCUGACGAGUGGCGGACGGGUGAGUAAUGUCUGGGAAACUGCCUGAUGGAGGGGGAUAACUACUGGAAACGGUAGCUAAUACCGCAUAACGUCGCAAGACCAAAGAGGGGGACCUUCGGGCCUCUUGCCAUCGGAUGUGCCCAGAUGGGAUUAGCUUGUUGGUGGGGUAACGGCUCACCAAGGCGACGAUCCCUAGCUGGUCUGAGAGGAUGACCAGCCACACUGGAACUGAGACACGGUCCAGACUCCUACGGGAGGCAGCAGUGGGGAAUAUUGCACAAUGGGCGCAAGCCUGAUGCAGCCAUGCCGCGUGUAUGAAGAAGGCCUUCGGGUUGUAAAGUACUUUCAGCGGGGAGGAAGGGAGUAAAGUUAAUACCUUUGCUCAUUGACGUUACCCGCAGAAGAAGCACCGGCUAACUCCGUGCCAGCAGCCGCGGUAAUACGGAGGGUGCAAGCGUUAAUCGGAAUUACUGGGCGUAAAGCGCACGCAGGCGGUUUGUUAAGUCAGAUGUGAAAUCCCCGGGCUCAACCUGGGAACUGCAUCUGAUACUGGCAAGCUUGAGUCUCGUAGAGGGGGGUAGAAUUCCAGGUGUAGCGGUGAAAUGCGUAGAGAUCUGGAGGAAUACCGGUGGCGAAGGCGGCCCCCUGGACGAAGACUGACGCUCAGGUGCGAAAGCGUGGGGAGCAAACAGGAUUAGAUACCCUGGUAGUCCACGCCGUAAACGAUGUCGACUUGGAGGUUGUGCCCUUGAGGCGUGGCUUCCGGAGCUAACGCGUUAAGUCGACCGCCUGGGGAGUACGGCCGCAAGGUUAAAACUCAAAUGAAUUGACGGGGGCCCGCACAAGCGGUGGAGCAUGUGGUUUAAUUCGAUGCAACGCGAAGAACCUUACCUGGUCUUGACAUCCACAGAACUUUCCAGAGAUGGAUUGGUGCCUUCGGGAACUGUGAGACAGGUGCUGCAUGGCUGUCGUCAGCUCGUGUUGUGAAAUGUUGGGUUAAGUCCCGCAACGAGCGCAACCCUUAUCCUUUGUUGCCAGCGGUCCGGCCGGGAACUCAAAGGAGACUGCCAGUGAUAAACUGGAGGAAGGUGGGGAUGACGUCAAGUCAUCAUGGCCCUUACGACCAGGGCUACACACGUGCUACAAUGGCGCAUACAAAGAGAAGCGACCUCGCGAGAGCAAGCGGACCUCAUAAAGUGCGUCGUAGUCCGGAUUGGAGUCUGCAACUCGACUCCAUGAAGUCGGAAUCGCUAGUAAUCGUGGAUCAGAAUGCCACGGUGAAUACGUUCCCGGGCCUUGUACACACCGCCCGUCACACCAUGGGAGUGGGUUGCAAAAGAAGUAGGUAGCUUAACCUUCGGGAGGGCGCUUACCACUUUGUGAUUCAUGACUGGGGUGAAGUCGUAACAAGGUAACCGUAGGGGAACCUGCGGUUGGAUCACCUCCUUACCUUAAAGAAGC
rnacentral:rRNA from 1 species